UAUACAAAUAAUUAUAUUCCUGUAUUGUGAUUUUUGUAAUAACAAAUAAGCUUAUUGCUACGGAUUGCAUGUCACUCAUUAAAAUACUCAUCAGAAUAUUAUAUAAAAGAUAACUACAGACGUUUCGACGAAGAACUGCUUACUGUACCUACCUAUUUUAUUUCAAGAACAAUUGGAAAACCGUUAGAAUUAAGAUUUACUUUUAACAGUGGUAAGAAGGUGCCUUCCUAUAAUAUUUCAACUA